AGAACGAACGCUGGCGGCAUGCCUAACACAUGCAAGUCGAACGCCUGUAGCAAUACAGGAGUGGCGCACGGGUGAGUAACGCGUGGGAACCUGCCCUGGAGUGGGGGAUAACCGAGAGAAAUUUCGGCUAAUACCGCAUACGACCUGAGGGUGAAAGAUUUAUCGCUCUAGGAGGGGCCCGCGUCGGAUUAGCUAGUUGGUGGGGUAACGGCCUACCAAGGCUACGAUCCGUAGCUGGUCUGAGAGGAUGAUCAGCCACACUGGGACUGAGACACGGCCCAGACUCCUACGGGAGGCAGCAGUGGGGAAUAUUGGACAAUGGGGGAAACCCUGAUCCAGCAAUGCCGCGUGAGUGAUGAAGGCCUUAGGGUUGUAAAGCUCGUUUCGGCGGGGACGAUGAUGACGGUACCCGCAGAAGAAGCCCCGGCUAACUUCGCGCCAGCAGCCGC
rnacentral:rRNA from 1 species